rfam:TPA: Bos taurus chromosome 10, whole genome shotgun sequence.
UCCCUGGUGGUUCAGACGGUAAAAGCACCUGUUUGCAAUGCAGGAAACCCAGGUUAGAUUCCUGGGUCGGGAA